rfam:Glycine soja cultivar W05 scaffold1441_4, whole genome shotgun sequence.
AAGUGUUACAUCUUCAUGUCUUAUCACUGACACUUCAUCGUCACAUUAUCACCUUUAAUAACGUGACAAUGACAUAUCAGUGAUUAGGCUUGAUGAUGUGACACUUUAU